rnacentral:rRNA from 1 species
AGAAGUCUGACGGAGCACGCCGCGUGAGUGAUGAAGGCUUUCGGGUCGUAAAACUCUGUUGUUAGGGAAGAACAAGUGCUAGUUGAAUAAGCUGGCACCUUGACGGUACCUAACCAGAAAGCCACGGCUACUACGUGCCAGCAGCCGCGGUAAUACGUAGGUGGCAAGCGUUAUCCGGAAUUAUUGUAGGGAGGGCCGCAGGUGGUUUCUUAAGUCUGAUGUGAAAGCCCACGGCUCAACCGUGGAGGGUCAUUGGAAACUGGGGACUUGAGUGCAGAAGAGGAAAGUGGAAUUCCUUGUGCCGUAUAAUGAGGGUUAUGGAAGAACACUUGUGGCUA